rfam:Baudoinia panamericana TAMH 10762 unplaced genomic scaffold BATCOscaffold_11, whole genome shotgun sequence.
GGCCGCUUGGCUCAAUGGUAGAGCGUCCGCCUCCUACGUUUAGGUAGCGGAAGGUUGUGGGUUCGAGUCCCAUGGUGGUCG